rnacentral:lncRNA from 1 species
ACAUCUGUUCUUCAGCUGGCGAUCAAACUGCAUCUCAGCACGAGUGUCCCUGAGCUGAUUAGGUUGAGUCCCAUCAAAUUCAUCAGGCAAAUCAUCCAGCAUACUGGUAAUGUCACUGUAGCCUUUCAUGACACUAGAAAAAUCAUGGUAACAGUCAUGCUUAUCUUCCAUUAGAUAAUUCGAAACAGAAGGUUCAACAUUGAUUUCCCUGAUACGGCCAACAUCUAGUUCCAUGCUAAUAUGGCCAUGCUCUCGAGCUAUUGCUUUGUGCUUGACAGUCCAAUCAGGGCGACUCCAUAAAUAUAAUGGUGGUGUCUCCGCGUUCCACUGCUCCAUUUGCUGAGCAAGCACAUCCACUGACCCAGGCAGAUAAAAGGACUGAUAAAAAAUUAUUUGAGUAAGUGAUUUACUUCAUCCUCAAAUUAGAUCAAUGUAUGGGGGUUGGCAGGCAGUGAAGGGGAGAGCGAGAAGAUGCUAAUUGCUAAUUUUCUUACCUUCCCAGAAAGUAAUUUGUCAUCUUCCCAAAUCAAAUCAUAUGGCAACUUUCCCCUGU